CAAUAGCGUAUAUUAAAGUUGUUGCAGUUAAAACGCUCGUAGUCGGAUUUCGGGGCGGGUCCGCCGGUCUGCCGAUGGGUACGCACUGGCGGGCGCGUCCUUCCUUCCGGAGACUGGCCCUACUCUUAGCUGAGCGGGGUCGGGAGUCGGAUCGUUUACUUUGAAAAAAUCAGAGUGUUUCAAGCAGGCAGCUCGCUCUUGCAUGGAUUAGCAUGGGAUAAUAAAAUAGGACUUUGGUGCUAUUUUGUUGGUUUCGAACACCGAAGUAAUGAUUAACAGGGACAGUCAGGGGCACUCGUAUUCCGCCGAGAGAGGUGAAAUUCUCAGACCAGCGGAAGACGAACCACUGCGAAAGCAUUUGCCAGGGAUGUUUUCACUGA
rnacentral:rRNA from 1 species